rnacentral:rRNA from 1 species
CCCGCACAAGCAGUGGAGCAUGUGGUUUAAUUCGAUGCAACGCGAAGAACCUUACCUGGGCUUGAACUGCAGGUAUAGCUGCCUGAAAAGGUUAGUGAUCCCCUUCGGGGAACCUGUAGAGGUGCUGCAUGGCUGUCGUCAGCUCGUGUCGUGAGAUGUUGGGUUAAGUCCCGCAACGAGCGCAACCCUUGCCAUUAGUUGUCAGCGAGUCAUGUCGGAUACUCUAAUGGGACUGCCGGUGACGAGCCGGAGGAAGGUGGGGAUGACGUCAAGUCAGCAUGGCCUUUAUGUCCAGGGCCACACACGUGCUACAAUGGACGGUACAGAGGGACGCAAGACCGCAAGGUGGAGCAAAUCCCAGAAAACCUGUCUCAGUCCGGAUUGAAGUCUGCAACUCGACUUCAUGAAGGCGGAAUCGCUAGUAACCGCGAAUCAGCAGGUCGCGGUGAAUACGUUCCCGGGCCUU